CUACAUCUGAUGUAAUCCUAGACAACCUAGAAUUAGUUCGAAAUUUGAAAAUGCCCAUAAUAGGAGAGUAAUUUCAUCCCUAAAUAUUUCAUAAUUAGGAUUAUUAAAAUAGAUAAGCUAAGUUUGUCCAACCCAGAAGGCUUAAGGCCCAAGUAGGAUUAAUGGGCUUGAAAAUUUAUAAGAAAGCCCGUGCCUGAGGAAGAGGCCCACAUGCACACCAAACAAGUAGCCCAACCAGCAAAGCCCACAAACAUGAACGUGU
rnacentral:lncRNA from 1 species